UGAUGCAAGUAGUGUCAACAACAUGGCAGAAAUUAUAAGGUUAUGAAACUUGUGUUCUUGUGUAUUUAGCAGUUUAAAUAAAAUUGUCAGCAAGUUUGACAGUCUUAACAUGCAGCCAGUAAUGAUAAUAGUUGUAUAACAGAAAUUAAUAGUAAUUAGACAUUAUACUGCUAUAUUUGAAAUGCCACUUCUGGUGAAAGAAUAUAGUUGGAGACAGACUGAAAAUGUGGUAGUGAUCAGGGUACCAUUGAAAGGAGUGCAUUACAGAAAGGUUGAUAUAUUUACUUCUGAUAACUAUAUAAAGGCAUAUUUUCAUCCAUUCCUGUUUGAAGUCUUUCUAUUCUCCUCAGUGAAGGAACCGCAGAGCAAAUGCACCCUGGUAGAUGAUGAAAUUGUUUUUGAAUUACAAAAGGUGGAACAUGCUUCUUGGGAUGACUUGGAAGCUAAUUUGAGCAAAGUGGAACAACAAGAAAUGCGUAAGAAGAUUUUAGAAAGAGCCCAAGAGAAAGCAAAAGCAGAACAGGAGAGAAAGCGUGUGAAGAAAGCAGAGUUGGACCGGUUAGCUGUGAGGCAACAGAUUUCUAUUGAUACUCAUCACCGUCAACUUAUUGAAGAAAUUAAAGAAAAUGUAAAGAAAACUGCCAUAAAGGAGAUUGAAGAAUGGAAGGUUUCAAAUCAAAGAGAAGAAAACAAAGAUCAUGUGGACCAAGAGGUGGUACCCUUUCAGAAGACUGCUUCUGUAAAUAAACCCACACCUACAGUGGAGCCAGAUGAAAAUGUGAAGCCUAUACCAUUUCCACGAAACUUUGGCAUAGUUAAAGUUCAUUUCACUGCUAGAGAUUUUCCUACACCAAAGCGUGAGUCACAGGCUCAAGAAGAAGAGGAGUGGCUAAAGAAGCAGGCCGAAGCUCGUCGAAGAGUAGGAUUUAUGACAGAGGAUCUAAGUCCUGAAGAACUGGAUCCAGUGUGGCUUAAAGACAAGGGAGACAAUUUUUUCAAAGUUGGCAACUACCUUGGUGCUGUCAGUGCAUACAGUCAUGCUAUCAGUAUUGGUAGCAAGAUGCCAGCAUUAUAUUCAAACAGAGCUGCAGCUCACAUGGCACUUGGAAAUCUGCACAAGACAGUGGAGGACUGUUCAACAGCACUUGAGCUGUUAAUGCCAUGUGUGGAGAUGAACUGUAUGUCACGUGCGCGCUGCCAUGUGCGCCGUGGGAUCGCUCUCUGCCGUCUGGGGAUGGUGCGUGAGGGGAUUGGGGAAUUGGAGGCCGCCGUGGCGCUGAGGCCUGAUGAUGAGAAACUACGACUGGAUUUAGAGAAGGCCCGUGCUCUUGUCGAGGCAGAUGAACUGGAGUAACCUUUCCUAGUAAGCACUGUGCUUUCUGGAGCAAUGAUGAUGAAAGAGUUGACAUAGUGUUGAGAAAGAAUCCAAAGGCCAUUAAACUUCUGUGCACUUUGCUGUCUUGGGCAUCAACAUGGAUAUCCCCCCAGUUAUGAGAUAGUCCCUCCAUGGGUAUCUUGAAGAGGAGAGAUGUGAUGUGUGUAUUACUGUACAUGUCUGGUAUAAACUUCUGCCAGGUGCCAGUUAGCCUGAAUGUCAUGGAACUCGUGAUCCAUUGUCAUGAGCUUCCCUUACAUUUAACUUAAACUGCCAUAUUCAAGAGCAAGUUUGUCUGGUGAAAAUUCUUAGCCAGUGGUCUGACCAAGUCAUGAAACGCGCAAAUAUGUGAUUCCAGUAGCAUUUUCCCAUUGAGGGUGCAGUGGCAAAGCGACUGCAAGCUUGACUAGUUCUGCAGGACAUCACUGUGGCAUAGAGGAGAUGGAACAGGCCUCCACGGAUAAAGCAACAAAGAUGUUCUUAAGCUUGAACCAUCUUGACAUGUACUCAGUAUUUUCAUACCAGAGGUUGAUCUAAGUUCCAUGGAUCCAGGGCAUUACAGGACUGGGAUGACCAGCAGCAGAGAGUGGUAUAUGUGUUGGCUUGGCAUUUGCAAUGGUAAUGGCAGUAGUAGCAGUAAUGGUAGCACAGAAAAUAGUGGAUUUGUUGGGGGUGGUAGUAGCUCUGAGUGGCUGCAAUGAUACUGCUUUUGCUCAUAGAGAUAUGAUGAUGUUGAUGGUUGUGACUGUGAUAUGGGUAAUUGUGAUGCAGGCAGUAACAUGGUGUGGUGAAGGAAGCUGUGUUGAUAAUGGUGAUUUUGAUAGCCACAGUGGUCAUGGUGAUUGUGCUUGUGCUACUGCUUGUAGUGGUCAUGAUGACAGUUGUGGCAGUAAUGGUGAGGAAGUGCCAGUUGUCAUGGUGACAGGAAUUGGUUUGGUGGAAAUUGUCAUCAUGAUGGUUUAUGGAAUAGAAUGGUUGGUAGCGAGAUUGAAGGUUUGUGGUGGUCAUGAUGGGACUUGACAGUUGUGUUGAAGUUACCUGUAAGGACACUGUGUGUGUAGAGUUGCUGCCAGUAAUGCAUUCAGGAUGCCACUUCUCACACAUGUGUAGUGAUGUCCACAGAAGGACAGUAGUGUCAUGAUGCAUCUCUUCCAUUCAUUCCAAUAACCCGGCUUUACACUGACCCAGACUGCUCAGUCCAAACUGUCUUAGAUUAAGAAACUGAAGUCAAACGAAGUGUUUCACGGAUGUCAUAUGCUCAAAGCGAGAGCAACAGGAACAGAAGGAGAAGAAGAAAAAGGAGGAGAUGACACUGACCAAGGAACUGCAUAGCUGUUCAACAGACGGCUGUGCCACAACAGGCAAGGUCUCCUAAGGAUUUCAUGGGAAUGGUAGGAAGUAAAGCAAAUUACUUGCUUAAAUAUAAAACAAUUAGCUAUUAUUAUUAAAUCCGUCUUAUUGCUGUGACAGUACAUGAUGGCUGGACUCCACUGCAUGUUUCAUACACUAUAAAACAUUCUCUAUCCAUGUUUGCAUCAAAAUAAAAUAAUUUUUACAUAACCAAGCACUACUAAUUUCCACUUUGAAAAGUAGUUAGCAUUAUAUUAUUAUUAUAUUAAUAAUAAUAAUGAUAAAAGAUUAUUUACAUAUGUUACCUUGGCAAUAAUUUUCAAAACCUAAACCACCACAUACCACCCUUUCCCCAUAUUAAUCCCCCAUAAUAUUGAGCUGCACGGUAACUUGUGAUGUCACAAUUUUCGUUAUUUGUUAUCAAGGAAGUUAGAGCAACGUCAUGUCCUCAGCAGCCACACAUUGUAACACCAAGAGUGAUACUAUAUACAUACA